GACGAACGCUGGCGGCGUGCUUAACACAUGCAAGUCGAACGGAAAGGCCCUGCUUUUGUGGGGUGCUCGAGGGGCGAACGGGUGAGUAACACGUGAGUAACCUGCCCUUGACUUUGGGAUAACUUCAGGAAACUGGGGCUAAUACCGGAUAGGAGCUCCUGCUGCAGGGUGGGGGUUGGAAAGUUUCGGCGGUUGGGGAUGGACUCGCGGCUUAUCAGCUUGUUGGUGGGGUAGUGGCUUACCAAGGCUUUGACGGGUAGCCGGCCUGGGAGGGUGAGCGGCCACACUGGGCCUGAGAUACGGCCCAGACUCCUACGGGAGGCAGCAGUGGGGAAUAUUGCACAAUGGGCGGAAGCCUGAUGCAGCAACGCCGCGUGCGGGAUGACGGCCUUCGGGUUGUAAACCGCUUUCGCCUGUGACGAAGCGUGAGUGACGGUACUGGGUAAAGAAGCACCGGCUAACUACGUG
rnacentral:rRNA from 1 species